rnacentral:rRNA from 1 species
AACGAACGCUGGCGGCAUGCCUAACACAUGCAAGUCGAACGAGAUCUUCGGGUCUAGUGGCGCACGGGUGCGUAACGCGUGGGAAUCUGCCCUUUGGUUCGGAGUAACAGUUGGAAACGACUGCUAAUACCGGAUGAUGACGAAAGUCCAAAGAUUUAUCGCCAGAGGAUGAGCCCGCGUAGGAUUAGCUAGUUGGUGUGGUAAAGGCGCACCAAGGCGACGAUCCUUAGCUGGUCUGAGAGGAUGAUCAGCCACACUGGGACUGAGACACGGCCCAGACUCCUACGGGGGGCAGCAGUGGGGAAUAUUGGACAAUGGGCGAAAGCCUGAUCCAGCAAGGCCGCGUGAGUGAUGAAGGCCUUAGGGUUGUAAAGCUCUUUUACCCGGGAUGAUAAUGACAGUACCGGGAGAAUAAGCUCCGGCUAACUCCGUGCCAGCAGCCGCCGUAA